AUAGUAUAACCUAGCAAGGAAGCCAUCGUAUAGAGGUACGUUCUCACAUAUAUUGAUUAUUCAUAUUCUCCCAUACACACACAACUGAGAAUUAUUAUCUCUCUCAAUACACUAGACCAUACAUUCCUCCAUUGUUAACUUUGUGAACACAUUCUAAUUCUCACGCCUGAGCUAUCCCCCGACGGAACCGCCGUCAAGCUUUCGGUGUUGACUGUGUUUACUGUGCAGGAUCAGGACGUCUUACGUGAUUGGGACGUGGAGAAAGAUCCUGGCGUUAACACGUAGCAAUAGCGGUCAUAUGAUAAAUGUCUUCAUUUUGUUAAUUAGAAUUUGGAUUUAGGAAAAUUAGUUAUAUUGAUAUUUUUAAUCAAAACAAGAAAAAGAAAUUUAUUAUAGAAUAGAGAGGAAAGAAUAAGGUGGGGGAUGGAAGAAUACCUAACUGGACUAGCAAUACAUGAUAGAAAAGAACAUUAAAAAGUGCCUUCCAUCAAGGCUCCAAUGUCUACACAUCAACAUAGAGAAUUUGGACGUGUAUGCGUACAAUACAAUAAGUUAUACAAGUAGGAGGAUGUCAUGAACUAGUUAGUUCGUGAUUUGGACUCUUCAACUAAUUACUAGAAUUUAAGAGAAAUAGAAGAAAUGGAGAUAGAAUUAGGAGAGAGAGAGAGAGGGGGAGAGAAAUAGAAAUUGGAUAGUGUCAUCCAUUUAGAGAAACAAAUUACAGAAUCUAGAACAUGCUUAUCUCAUCCUAGUUGCUCACUAUUUAUAAGCUAACUACUUGGGAAAGCAAAU
rnacentral:lncRNA from 1 species